CUGGGUGUGGCGCAGUUGGGAGCGCGGGAGUUUCGGGAACUCCAGGUCGUGGUUCAAUCGCUACCACUCAGA
rnacentral:tRNA from 1 species